UUUUUUUUUUUUACUUUGCAGACCAGAGUGCUCCCUUGACAUGAGUUUCACCUAACUGUUGUUCUUUCCUUCAAGUGUCAACCAAAAGAGCAAUGAUGAGCUUGGCGUGGGCCAUGGCUGAACCCGACUGGAGACCUCUGCGGCCCUCACACACAGCCACGGGGAGCUCACAGCCAUGAUUCAGUACGGCGCACAGCAGACAGAGAGGAGACACCUUACCUGUAUCAUCUACAGAUACCGCUUGAAAAAUCACACGUAAUUAGGCCCUUCUCACAGGGGAAGCUACUCGAAGCUCUAUCACCAGCUGGCAUACAUUUCCCUUGAGCAACGUCAGAUGAGAAAGUGAUUUCAUUUCCAUCACAGGGGAGAAGACAAACAGAAGACCCAGAGGCAGCGACUUGCUUGGAGGCCUCCAAGGUGAGAAAAUUGAGGAAUGAAAAGGAUACGUGACUUACCCAAGUAAGUGGGGUUCACAUCUAAACUGUCUGGUUUCAGAGCUCACAGUCCUGCCCACCCUGGAAAGACACAGACGUGCUGACAAGGAGCUUACAGAGUAAAAAGGGGUGGCAACCUUAACAAAAAAGACAAAUCAGUCAUUACAAACCAAGGCAGGACCAUGAUUGAAAAGAACAGGAAAAACAAGAGUUAAGAACAAUAAACUGUUUUAGCCAGGCGGCCAGAGAAGUCUUCUCCAGGUAGGUGAAUAUAUGAGGGAUGAAUACUAUCAGACCAAGAAUGGCUGAGACAGAGAAGACUGUGCUAUAGAGAACAGUAGGCAGAACACAGCUUGGUUAUGUUUGAAGGACUGAAAAAUGGCCAGUGCUUCAGAAGGCCAUAAAGGGGAGUGUGUCUCUUCUUGCUCGCUGCCAUAGGACAGGGAUUGGUCAAUAGAUUUUUUUUUUGUAUGGCACCAAGGAGUAACUAUUUUAAGCUUUGUAGGCCAUGCAGCCUCCAUCACAAUUAUGCAACUCUGACGCUGCAGCGUGAAAGCUACUGCAUAUAAGUAAACAGGUGAGCAUGUAUGUUGCAAUAAAAGUGCACAUAGGGACACUGGAAUUUAGAUUUCAGUGUGACAGGAAACGGAUGAGCAUGUAUGUUCCAAUGAAACGGUAUAUACGGACAGCAGAAUUUAGACUUCAGUGAGACAGUUCCACAAAUAGCAAGUAUGUGUGCGAAAACACGUAAGAGUCACAUUUGGUGCAUUUCCAACACAUUAAUCCUUACAUAUAUCCAAGGCACCUUAACCUUAGAGCUCAGUGAAUUCUGUCAGCUGACGGAAUGUAAAAGCAAGAUACAAUUUUGAAUAAAAUUUAGUAACUGGGCUAUUGGUUUUUAAAUCACUCUUAAUCAGGAUUAUCCAGGAAAAAUAGUAUCAAUAGGAUAUGUAUGUAUAUGAAGAGAUUUGUUAGCAGAUAAAUGGCUCACACAAUUACGGAGGCUGGAAAGUUGCAUAAUUUUGCCUGCCAGCUGGCAACCCAGAAGAGGCAGUGGUGUAGAUCCUAGUCUGAGUCUGAAAGCCCAAGAAACAGGAGCACCCAGGGAAGGAGGGCCAAUGUCCCAGCUCAAGCAGCGAGUCUGGAAGGGCCAAACUCUUCCUUCCUCUGCCUUUAUGUUCUGUUCAGGCUCUCAGCAGAGUGGCUAAGCCCACCCACCCUGGGGAGGGCACAGUGCUUUGCCGAGUGCACUGGCUCAAAUGCUAAUUUCAUCUGGACACGCCUUCACAGACAUUUUCAGAAAUAACAUUUAACCCGUAUCUGGGCAACCCGUGAUCCAGUCAAGAUGACACACAAAAUUUUAACCAUUACAGUCUGAUAAAGAGGAACAAAUCAUCACCCAGGAAAAAGAAAUAUUGGCAUUGAUGAAGAUAAUACAAAGGAAUGUUCCAUCUUUACAAAGAGAACAACAACAAAAUAAUGAAUGCAUCAUCAUUCAAAGAGUAUUUCAGAUUGAUCACUGCCCCAGAAAACUAAAAUUGUCUAAAAUCUUAAGAGGUCGCCUAUAAAACACUUGACGGAUACUUUCCUAAAGUUGACAUGACAAUCCUAAAAAUUUGUAUCACCUAACCAGUAAUGAGUUAUGAAGCCAAAAUAAAUUUUUCUAAAUUGACAAUAAAUUUUGAUCAAUCCAGAAGGUAGAAAGAUUAAAUCCUCUUUUGAAUAAUUUCUAUAGAAAAUGAUAAUCCAAGACCACUGUAUUAACAGGUAAUCCAAGAGUAUGUAGCCAAAAUAUACAGGAAACACACAUUAUAGGAAAAGUCAGGUAGUUAAUAAAAAAUAAACAUGUUAUUUGGGGGAUUUUGUGAUGUAUAUUUCAGCUUUAAAAACUGUAAUUUGUGGAGUUCCUAUUGUGGCUCAGUGGGUUAAGAACCUGACUAGCAUCCAUGAGGAUGCGGGUUUGAUCCCUGGCCUAUAUCAGUGACUUAAGGAUCUGGUGUUGCUGCAGACUGAGGCACAGGUUGCAGGUGUGGCUGUGGCUGGCAGCUGCAGCUCUGAUUCGACCUCUAGCCCAGGAACUUCCAUCUGUUGAAAGUGUGGCCAUAAAAAGAAAAAAAAUCUUUUAACUUUUUUUUUUUGGUCUUUUUGUCUUUUCUAGGGCCACGCCCAUGGCAUAUGGAGGUUCCCAGGCUAGGGCUUGAAUCGGAGCUGUAGCUGCCGGCCUAUGCCACAGCAACGUGGGAUCUGAGCUGCGUCUGCGACCUACACCACAGCUUAUGCCAAUGCCGGAUCCUUAACCCACUGGGCGAGGCCAGGGACCGAACCCACAACAUUAUGGUUCCUAGUCAGAUUUGUUAAUCACUGAUCCAUGACGGGAACUCCUCUAACUUAUUUUUUAAAAUGUCUACAGUUCUUUUAGCCAUGCCUACAGCAUGCGGAAGUUCCCAGGCCAGGGCUUGAACCCAUGCCAUAGCAGUGACAACACCAGAUUUUUAACCUGUUGUACCACAGGGAACUCAUCUACAUCCUUUUUCUUAAAGCUGCCGACCUGCCUCUGCCUUGGAAGUGCGCUUACGGCCUAUUUCCCCAGGACAGCUAUCCUUUCCUUCCUUUGGACCUGUUCUCAGGCCUUCAGACUUGGGUCCUGGACUGGAACUAACUGGGCUUUCCUGGACCUCCAGUUUGCAGAGGGACUUAACCUCUGAAACCAAAUUGUUUGCAUACACAGUUACUUUUAAAAAUAUACACAGGAGACGGGAUUGAGACAGUGGAGUAGAAGGAGUAAAGCUCGCCUUCUCUCAUGAAAACAACAAAAUUACAACCAACGGCUGAACAACCUUCAACAAAACAGACUGGAAACUAUCAAAAAAGAGAUCCUACUCCAAAAGACAAAUAAGAGGCCACAUUGAGAUGGUAAAAGGGGUGAUUAUGUGAUAUAAGCAACUCCAUACCCACUGGGGGGAUAGCCCACAGACUGGAAAGUUAACUGUAUCACAGGGGCUCACCCACGGGAGUAAGGGUUCUGCGCCCCAUGUCAGGUUCCCAUGCUUGGGGAUCUGGCAUUGGGAGAGGGAGCCCCGGGAGCAUUUGGCAUUGAAGGCCAGUGGGGCUUACACACAGGAGCUUCACAGAACUGGGGGAAAUGGAGACUCCACUCUUGAAAGGCGCACACAGGCUUUUGUGUGUUUGGGUCCAAGGACAAAGCAGAGACUCCAUAGGAAUCUAGGUCAGACUUGCCUGUGGUUCUUGGAGGAUCUCCUGGGAAAACAGUGGGUGACUGUGGCUCGUUGUUGGGCAAGGAUACUGGAGGCAAAGGUCUCGGAAAUAAUCAUCAGCAUGAAUUCCUCUAGAGGUGGCUGUUUUGCAAAAAUUUAGCACCAGGCCAGAGAACAAACCCAGUGGGAACACAGCCCCACCCAUCAGCAAACAGGCUACCUAAAGGCCUGCCCCCACCCAGGCACAUAGACUCCUCUAAUCACACCCACAGACAAAGCCCCACCCACCAGAAGGACAAGACUCAGCUCCACCCACUAGGGGGCAGGCACCAGUCCCUCCCAUCAGGAAGUAGGCAGCAUGCCCCCAUACCAACUUCAGCCACCCUCAAGGGGGGCAGACAUCAGAAGCAAGAGACUACAACCCUAUUACCACACUAAAAAUCUAUACAAAAUGAAAAAGGCAUAGAAUUAGGACUCAGAUAAAGGAACAAGGAAAAAAAAAAAAAA
ensembl:lncRNA